UACGGAGGGGGCUAGCGUUGUUCGGAAUUACUGGGCGUAAAGCGCACGUAGGCGGCUUUGCAAGUUAGAGGUGAAAGCCCGGGGCUCAACUCCGGAAUUGCCUUUAAAACUGCAUCGCUAGAAUUGUGGAGAGGUAAGUGGAAUUCCGAGUGUAGAGGUGGAAUGCGUAGAGAUCCGGAAGAACACCGGUGGCGAAGGCGGCCUGCUGGGCAGUAGCUGACACUGAGGCGCGACAGCGUGGGGAGCAAACAGG
rnacentral:rRNA from 1 species